AUGCUAGCAAGAUGGGCAGCAUAUCUUGAGAGGUUUAACUAUCUCAUCGUGCAUAAAUCUGAAAUAACUAACAGAGUGGCCGAUGCUUUGAGUCGUCGUGCAUGCCUCUUGACUUCUUUUGAAGCUGAACUUCCGGGCAUGGGUCAAAUAAAGGAGUUGUAUGAGGGUGACGAAGACUUUGGCCAUGUUUGGGUAAAGCACGCAAGGGGCCAACCAUUAGGUGAUGACUAUUUGAUGCAAGAUGGAUAUCUCUUCAAAAAUGAUCGUUUGUGCAUUCCAAGAAGUUCUCUACGUGACAAGCUGGUUAGAGAGCUCCAUUCAAGUGAUCUUAGUGGCCAUGUUGGACGGGACAAGACUAUCGCUAACCUGGAAGCUCGCUACUUUUGGCCACAACUAAAGAGAGAUGCUGGAAAGUUCGUUCAACGGUGCCCCGUAUGUCAGACCUGCAAAGGCCAAGUCCAGAACACAGGGUUAUACAUGCCUUUGCCUGUUCCUGUUGCUCCAUGGGAGGACAUUUCUAUGGACUUCGUCUUGGGCUUGCCAAGAACAAGACGAGGAAGUGAUGCUGUAUUUGUGGUCGUGGAUAGAUUCUCUAAGAUGGCUCAUUUCAUCCCAUGCCACAAGACAACGGAUGCUCAUCAUGUGGCAAACCUAUUCUUUCGAGAAGUGGUCAGACUUCAUGGAGUUCCAAGGUCCAUUGUCUCAGACCGUGAUAGCAAGUUUCUUGCUGCAUUUUGGCUCACUUUGUGGAAGCAAUUCAACACUGAAUUGAAAUUUUCUAGCACUGCUCAUCCACAAACAGAUGGACAAACGGAAGUGGUGAACAAGUUUUUGGGUAAUCUGAUCCGUUGCAUUUGUGGAGAAAGAAAGGGGCAAUGGGAUUUGGCUUUAUCUCUUGCAGAGUUCUCCUACAAUAACUCCAAGCAUAGAUCCACAGGAAGGAGCCCUUUUUCCAUUGUCUACACUAAAGUUCCAACACAUGUGGUGGACCUGGUGAAGCUGCCAUCAAGGGGAAACUCAAAAUCAGCAUUGUCCUUUGCUGAUAAUUACACCGAGUUAUUGGAAGAGAUUCGCGGCGCUUUGGAAGCACAAAAUCAGAAAUAUAAACAACUUGCUGAUUGCAAAAAGAGGCCAAAAUCAUUCCAAGUCGGUGAUAAGGUGAUGGUCUACCUCCGAAAAGAGAGGCUGCCUUUAGGUGUUAAAGGGAAACUUAGGCAGCGAAGGUAUGGGCCCUUCUCUAUCAUGAGGAAGAUAAAUGAUAAUGCUUAUGUGAUAGAUCUUCCAAGUGACAUGGGUAUCUCCAACACUUUCAAUGUUGCGGACUUGACUGUCUACCAUUCAGAAGAAGCGCUCUAUGAAGAUAACUCGAGGGCGAGUUCCAAACAACCAGGGGAGAAUGAUGAGGAACACUAG
rnacentral:rRNA from 1 species